rnacentral:rRNA from 1 species
UACGAAGGGGGCUAGCGUUGUUCGGAAUUACUGGGCGUAAAGCGCACGUAGGCGGACUGUUAAGUCAGGGGUGAAAUCCUGGAGCUCAACUCCAGAACUGCCUUUAAUACUGACGGUCUCGAGUCCGGAAGAGGUGAGUGGAAUUCCGAGUGUAGAGGUGAAAUUCGUAGAUAUUCGGAGGAACACCAGUGGCGAAGGCGGCUCACUGGUCCGGUACUGACGCUGAGGUGCGAAAGCGUGGGGAGCGAACAGG